UACGGAAGGUGCGAACGUUGCUCGGAAUCACUGGGCAUAAAGAGCUCGUAGGCGGUCCGUUAGGUCAGGGGUGAAAUCCCUCGGCACAACCGAGGAAUUGCCUUUGAAACCGGCGGGCUAGAGGGCAGGAGGGGAGAGCGGAAUUCCUGGUGGAGCGGUGAAAUGCGUAGAUAUCAGGAGGAACGCCGGCGGCGAAAGCGGCUCUCUGGUCUGUUCCUGACGCUGAGGAGCGAAAGCUAGGGUAGCAAACAGG
rnacentral:misc_RNA from 1 species